UAGGCCAGUGUUUGAUAUUAAAGUUUCCCUGCAGUCAUACUGGAGUAUUAUUACUCUGUAUUGCUUUGAAAACAAACGGUGAGACCUGUGUCCUCAGAGUACCUUUUAGGCUGUGUUGUUUGGACCAAACAAGCUUCCCAUUUUCUGGCAAAAUCAUCGUUUUGAUCAUUGUGAGACAAAAGGCUGAGAAUAGAUAGGUGACCAAUAUUCUAGCCUGUUUCCACUUUUACAAACAAAAUAAAAAAAUAAAAAAAAAACAACCAAAUUUCACUGUGGUUAUGAAUUUGGACCUCUAUGUAUAAAAUAAUUAUAAGGGUUAUAAGAAAUGUAAAUAUUACAUUUGAUGCUGUCACACCAAAAAAAAACCUUUUAAAAGUGCUGCAUGUAGUGGAGGUUAGUGAUAAGUUGAAAUAUUUUAUUUUUGGUGGACAUAUAAAAGGCAACCAUGGGCUUUCACACUUACUACAGUUUUUUUCUCUCUUUCAGUUGAAAAUUCAUGUUUUUAUUUUUUAUUAUUUUAUUUUGUGAACUUAAACAAGUUCAAGCUGCAAAAGUGACAUCUGUGUUUGUACAAGACAUCAGACAGCAUUUGAAUUUAUUAAUAUAAAGCAUUUUACACCUAGAAGAGCCUCAAAUAACCAAUGUAGUAAGCAGAUGGGAAAAUACAAUAAAUAGUCUGUCUUUCAAUGGCAUUUAUAAUGUUUCCUCAUUCAGCAAUGGCAGACAAAAUAGGCAAAUGGACUUUUUUUAUAGUGCUAGUUUAGGAAAGCGUCUUUGAAGCUGCUUUUAUUAGAAGCUCAUUUUUAACAUUUUUGGAUUGAGUAAAUAAUCAAGGGAUCUGCAUUUUGUGAUGCAAAAGUUGUAACCAUUUUAGGAAAAAAAAAAACAACGCUUAAUUUACAAGGGCUUUCAAAUGUAAAUAAAAGCCAAAAGUGUAUUCUGAAAUGGAGAACAUUUUAGUGAAAUCACUUCAACCCUAAGGCAUUUUAAUCUAAAUUUUGCCUUCAGAUGUACUUCUUCUAAUACACAAAACAAAAGGUCUAAGAGCAAAAAAUUAAAUGGGUUUGGGGUUUUCAGCUUGAAGGAGAGAAAAAUCAAGGACAAUUCAAAUUAAAAAUAUUUAAUUUUAGCAUUUCGACUAAGAGAAUGGAGAUAUGUUGUUCUGUCUUCAUUUACUUAAAAGAUGCUUAAAAUUUUUUGGAAAAUAAUCUAUGAACAUUACCAUAUGGAGGUCUUCACUUGGAAAGAAGCCACCAUUUACUGUUGCUGAGAGUUUGUAUCAUAAAGGAGAGUCUGAAGGAAUUUGAAAGCUUUUUGUAAGAUCAUUAGAAAUAUGACAGAAUUUUUUUUCCCAUGUUGGUUAGAAUUGCUUGGGUGUGAUUGACUCCAAAUUAAUUCCCAUCUUCUUUCAGCUCAGUUUGCUGUUUGGCAAGGUGUACCAUAUUUCUCCAAAAAAAAAAAUGAUUUCAGCCAUGUGCUGUUCAAUUAAUUAAACCAAAAGGCCAUUAGACAGGCAUGGCUCUGCUGUUGGACUGCCUAUGUAAAUGCCUCAAGGUUAUGAAAUCAAAAUCUAAAAACAACCAAUCAUAACCAACUAGGCUUUAAAUUACAGCCAAUAACAUAAUUUCCCUGCUUUGCUUCUGUACCUUCUCUACAUAAGUCUUGUCCCUGGCUCCUUCCUGUCUUUGGAGUGCCCCUAAUCACUUAGAGUUUGGUGUUGAGUCCAAUCAAUGUUUACUCAAACAAACUCUUAAAAUUUUUAAUACUCUUCAAUUUUUCUUUUAGCAGUGCUUACAGAAGGAUUAGUUAGAGAGUAAUUCCACUUAAUUUUUCUGUCUAUGAUAGAGAGUAAAAGUUGACUGUCCAGCUCAUGUCUUUCAGAUCCAGUUGAAAUCUGUCACAAUCAAAGGAAACAUUGGGAAGUGGUUGCAUUUCUGGAUGCUUCUCAUUAUACUUUUUUUUUUCUACUCUUUUUGGUGCAUCUCAUAAUGAGUUCUUUCAUUGCUUGUGGAUUUAAUAUAUUUUUUCUCCCAGUCCACAGAUAAACCCAGAUGAAAAGCCAUCAAACCAUGGACUAGGGAACAUCAUGCACAUUGUGUAGCAGAUGUGAUGACUCUAUCAGAAUAAAAGGGCAGUCUGGAUGCACACACCAUUCUCAUCUCAUGUGGUUGCCAAUGUAAAACAGUUUUAUGCAAUGUUUCAAAACCUUGCUUAAUUCAAAAUAGGAACUAGCAUAAGUUCCUAGGUAGAUUUCCUUUUCAUGAAAGCCAUAUACAGUCACUGAAGGUACAACUUAGAUGAUCAAAUUUUAUCUUAUCAGAUCUCGGCUGCUCUAAGUAAUAGCACACUUUUGGGUAACUGGGAGAAUUCUUUUUUCUUGUUCUUGUGUACAGACAUUGUGAAUCUUUCCUUUGGGGAUAUUUUUCCUAGCAGAGAUGGGAAAAGGAGGCAAGAUGGAUGGUAGAGAAGGAACUAGACCUUUUUCUCAUCAAAAAGUAGAUAAAGUUGACCUUUGGAGCUGUUACCCAGAGUAAGGAUGAAAAGGGGGGGGCAGGGGGAAAGGUGGCAGAAGGUGACAGAGUGGUCAUUAAAGGCUCUUUAUUAUGCCUUUAUUAUGCAUAUUACCUGUAACUCAGCCGUACAAAUUUAUAAGCAUGUCCUAAAACUGAGGGAGGUGAUGAGGGCUUUGGAAUUCAAGUUAAGACUUUGCUAUUUAUUUGGCAAGUCACUUAAUCUUUUCAUGCUGAAUUUUUCUUUCUUUCUUUUUUUUUUUUUAAGGGCCACACUCGCAGCAAAUGGAGGUUCUCAGGCUAGGGGUCUAAUGGGAGCUGUAGCCGCCAGAUGGGAGUUCCUGUCGUGGCACAGUGGUUAACGAAUCCGACCAGGAACCAUGAGGUUGCAGGUUCGAUCCCUGGCCUUGCUCAGUGGGUUAAGGAUCCAGCAUUGCCAUGAGCUGUGGUGUGGGUCGCAGAUGCAGCUCACAUCCCACGUUGCUGUGGUUCUGGCAUAGGCCUGUGGCUACAGCUCUGAUUCGACCCCUAGGCUGGGAACCUCCAUAUGCCGCGGGAGCGGC
rnacentral:lncRNA from 1 species